UGUUAAAGUACAUGUAUUCGAAGUAUUUGGAAAUUUGAAAAUCUUUUUUCUUGCGCAACCAUUGAAGCAAGCGUUCUACUUUGCAGAAAGGUGAUGCUGCGAAAACGAUUGCGUUCCUUUGAAACCGGCAGCACUGAGUCCUGUCGAUGAUGUUCGUUGGGAUUGCUGUGUAGAUGGUAAAAAGAAGAAUGUGGAAAGAGAACAGAGAUGUAUUUGUCAGACAGAGAUGGGAAAAGAUACAUAAAUUGCAAGAUACAGUUGAGUGAAAAUGUGCUCCAAAGAAUUUCUUGUUUGCCCUGGCGUUCUUGUUGUCCGUGUACAUUUUUGUUGUUUUCUUUCUAAGAGCUGCGUGCACAAAUAGAAAAUGCUUAAAAUGCAA